rnacentral:rRNA from 1 species
GACGAACGCUGGCGGCGUGCUUAACACAUGCAAGUCGAACGAUGAACCCGGAGCUUGCUCCGGCGGAUUAGUGGCGAACGGGUGAGUAACACGUGAGUAACCUGCCCUUGACUCUGGGAUAACUGCGGGAAACUGUAGCUAAUACCGGAUACGACCCUCGGCGGCAUCGCCAGGGGGUGGGAAGAAUUUCGGUCAAGGAUGGACUCGCGGCCUAUCAGCUAGUUGGUGAGGUAACGGCUCACCAAGGCGACGACGGGGAGCCGGCCUGAGAGGGUGACCGGCCACACUGGGACUGAGACACGGCCCAGACUCCUACGGGAGGCAGCAGUGGGGAAUAUUGCACAAUGGGCGCAAGCCUGAUGCAGCAACGCCGCGUGAGGGAUGACGGCCUUCGGGUUGUAAACCUCUUUUAGUAGGGAAGAAGCGAAAGUGACGGUACCUGCAGAAAAAGCACCGGCUAACUACGUGCCAGCCGCCGCUGUAA